rnacentral:rRNA from 1 species
CCUACGGGAGGCUGCAGUGGGGAAUUUUCCGCAAUGGGCGAAAGCCUGACGGAGCAACGCCGCGUGAGGGAGGAAGGUCUUUGGAUUGUAAACCUCUUUUCUCAAGGAAGAAGUUCUGACGGUACUUGAGGAAUCAGCCUCGGCUAACUCCGUGCCAGCAGCCGCGGUAAUACGGGGGAGGCAAGCGUUAUCCGGAAUUAUUGGGCGUAAAGCGUCCGCAGGUGGUCAGCCAAGUCUGCUGUCAAAUCAGGUUGCUUAACGACCUAAAGGCGGUGGAAACUGGCAGACUAGAGAGCAGUAGGGGUAGCAGGAAUUCCCAGUGUAGCGGUGAAAUGCGUAGAGAUUGGGAAGAACAUCGGUGGCGAAAGCGUGCUACUGGGCUGUAUCUGACACUCAGGGACGAAAGCUAGGGGAGCGAAAGGGAUUA